UACGUAGGGGGCAAGCGUUGUCCGGAAUCAUUGGGCGUAAAGCGCGUGUAGGCGGCUCGGUAAGUCCGCUCUGAAAGUCGGGGGCUCAACCCUCGGAUGCGGGUGGAUACUGUCGAGCUUGAGUGCGGAAGAGGCGAGUGGAAUUCCUGGUGUAGCGGUGAAAUGCGCAGAUAUCAGGAGGAACACCUAUUGCGAAGGCAGCUCGCUGGGACGUUACUGACGCUGAGACGCGAAAGCGUGGGGAG
rnacentral:rRNA from 1 species